AAUUCCUCUCUAUCGAAUGAAGCUUGCAUUAACUGCCUGUCUGAAACGAAAUCAAAAGUGCCUUUCUGUCACAAAAUACGCCCGUCAUCGAACUUAAUCCGAGAGUGUCUUGGGCGAUUUGGGUGGUUAUCGAUCUUCGCCGAGAUAUCAUGCCCACAAACGUUGUCAGCAAGUUUGGUGAAGAUCGGAUGAAAACUGUUCAACUUAGAGAGCGGACAGGGAUAAAUUCGAAGUUUUUCGAGUAAUGCAAGGGCCAUAAUCCAAGAGUGUGUGGCGGGGUCAACACCUGGUUAUUUACUGUUAGUUUAUAAUUGUUUACUAACCGUGUAUUAUGGUAAUUUCAUGGUAUAUUACGGUAGAUGUCGGUAGUUAAAUAGUUUUUGGUAAAAGAAGUAGCGCGUGAAAUCAGUCAAGUAGAACAAUAUCAUGCGAAUCGUUCACUUUCCACGCAGAGUUGAUAGCUUGAGCAGCAGCUUAGAGUAUUUUAGUUUUUAUUGAAAUUACUAAUGAUAGAAGGCACAUUCCAGUAUGUAGUAAAAGAUACAGCACAGAUGCACAGUAACAGCUCGGAGAGCGAUUGUGGGUGUAAGCACAGAUGUGAGACAGAUAUAUACAUUGUUGAAGGUCACUGAUAUCAUUACAUCACUGACCAAUACUACAAUACUACGAUAGACUGAAUACAGAUAUAAAACUGAACCGGAGUUGUUGUCCAUUACAUCACUCAAGAGGUCACAUUUUGGAGCCCCCAACAACAGGGAUUGACGACGCACUUGGUACUACCAAUUUACUACUGGAUAGAGGAUCUCGUAGAUGUUGCGUUAGAGAUAAACUUUUUGGAAAAUCUGCUCACUUUAGUGCUGACGACAAACGGUAUAAGGCAAUUUAAGCAGUGUAUAGUAAGUGUUCAUGAAUUAGACAGUAACUUUAAAGAUUUUAUGUCGGGAAUCCAGCUUAACGAGGAAUUAGCAACGGAUUAGAGAGGAUACAAAUGAACUGUAGAGUGUUUAUAAGACAUUGUCAUUAGGAGUGGUGCUAGAAUUGGUGAUUAGGAUAAUUUAACCAUUUUAAAUACAUUUUUAUUAGAUUUUUAAGAAAAUAUUUUUUAGUUUAAAUUAGAUGAUAGGUUCAGUGUUGUGAAAUAUGUUAUUGUGAAGUAGGUAUAUACAAUUUGAGAAUAUUUGACUGAAUUUUUUACAAGUCAGUGUGUUAUAGUAAAACAGGCUGAAUUCAGUGAAAAAAUUUUGGCAGUAAUACGUAGGUGAGUGUACAGGUGAAAACGAAUUACAAAUUUUUUUGAAGCAUUACAUUGAACACUUUAUUUUUGGAGUGUUUAAAUAUUUAAAGGGUGAAAAAGAGACUUUGUGAGUAAGUUUCAGUUAAAAUCACAAUGUUCACUUGGUGAAGGUGCUUUGUAAUAUCUCACUGUAAGUUUGCAUGAACUUCACUUAAAAUUGCUUAUAUUUAACUUUGCUAACAGUAAUUGUUCUGACAACCGGGAGUGAUAUUUGGCGUUACAGUUGCUCUAGUGUCUGGUUGGUACAUAAGGGUUUCAGUAAGUAAUUUAGUUCAAAUUGGUUUAAAGCAUAUAAGGUAAUUAUAGAUGUAGGAGUGUAAGUAAAUUUUCAAGUAGGAUUUAAGGAAAAAAAAGUACUAACAAGUUUUCUUUCAGAAUACAAAGUUACAGAUUGUGUGAGCCCACCAGUUCCAUUGAGUUUGAUGAAACAACAGCUGAUAACUGAUUAUCAGAACUGCAGAGGUUACAGAUAAUCUACUGUGAGUAGAUAACCGGUCAAGUGGAAUUUAGAAAGUAAAUAUACAUUAAAUAGAUACAAAAUAGAUUUGAUUUAAUUAAGUUAUAAUUAUUCUCUAUAGGUAGUACAUUUUAUAUUAUUAAUUGAUAAUAAUUCAUAUAUAAUAUGCUAGUGUGUUAAAUCUAGAACAGUUUCAGGAAUUACAGAUAACAAGAGUAGAACAUCUACAGUUACAGUUCAGUUACAGUUACCAAGACCAGUUACAUUUAAAGUUACAGUUACCAAGACCAGUUACAUUUAAAGUUACAGUUACCAAGUCCAGUUACAGUUACGAAGAAGUACUACAGCCUAUACAGUUACAGAUUACAGGUUUAAGCAUGCUUAGUUUAGAUUAGGGUUAGAAUAUAUCUAAGGAAUACACUGUGAUUCCUUUUUUAAAGUUGAGCUAUUGUAUUCACUCACAUACCGAUAUGUUGAGCUAUUGCAUUCACUCAAAUGAUAAGUUCUGGAAAAGUGAAACAAGCAUCAAGUUAUAGUGGAAGAUUUGAACUUCAUCACACAUAAUAAUAAUAAUUUGGAGAAGAAUUUCAACACUUGUGUUUAAAUAUCAGUGCAAUUAUAACUGGUCAAUACAAAGCAAAGGAGACGAGUGAAUAUACAGACUUCAUCAUACUGAAUCAUUGUGAAGAUAAUUGAAAAUACUAUAUUCUAUAUCAAAAAGUUAGAAAUUGCGUAACAUUCAUCGUGCAACGACAUUGGCAUUCCUGGGAACAGUUGAAGUAGAAUCAGUAAAGUGCAAAGACUGUGAAUGAAAAGACUUGUAGCAGAAUAUAGAGUGAUAAAUGACACUUUGUGAUACAAGCAGUUAGUGACAAAAGACACUUGGUGAUUAAGGUACUUAAAUACAAGAGAUACUUGAAAUAUAGACACUGAAUGAUUAGUGAUCGUCAGCAAUUACGUAAAUAAGUCUUGUAACUUGGUUCAGGAGCAUUUAUCAAGUAAAUACAAAUAGAACUUGUGAAAACCAAGCGUAAAGAUUGAAGCAGUUACUCCGACAUACUUGAAACUGUGGAAAGAAGUGUGAAUAUUUUAUAAUAGACUGAGCGUCAAAUAGACUCUAGCAUUAACUCUGCAUAAACUUAACUUACUAUUCAGUCAAGAUGUCGAUUGAAGUGACAGAAGAAGAGAAACAACUUAUUAAAUCAAUGAGGGAACUUGGGAUCAAAUCUAAGGCUGACACAAAGGAGGACUUGGACGAUUGGUUGCAUAAAUACGGCGCAUCAGGAGGAAUUCCAAUUACCCCAACAGUAACAUUGAACACUCAAGUACCAAGAGUGUCUAUUUUCUAUGGUGAUACAGACACUUUAGUUAAAGGUGAAGUUGUUUAUGACCAGUGGCGGUACGAAGUAUCAAGUCUUAUGAAGAGCGGCACUUACAAAGCAGAUAUACUAUAACAAGCGGUAAGACGUUCAUUACGUGGAGAAGCUGGAAGAAUACUAAUGAGAUUAGGAACUGAUGUGACAGUAGAAGAAAUAUUACAGAAAUUUGAAAGUGUUUAUGGAAUUGUAGAAACAAGAGAAAGCUUGCUGGCAAAAUUUUAUACUGCCAAACAGACAGAAUCAGAAGACAUAACCGCAUGGUCGUGUCGACUAGAAGACAUUUUGUGUAAAGCGGCUGAGAAAGGUCUAGU